UCUACGACCACACCACCCACCUCGUCUGAUCUCAGAAGCUAAGUAGGACUGGGCCUGGUUAGUACUUGGAUGGGAGACCACCCUGGGAAUACCGGGUGCAAGAA
rnacentral:rRNA from 1 species